rnacentral:rRNA from 1 species
GGUGAGAAUCCAAUGCCCUGAAAUCCUAAGGGUUCCUCCGGAAGGCUCGUCCGCGGAGGGUUAGUCGGGUCCUAAGGCGAGGCAGAAGUGCGUAGUCGAUGGAUAACUGGUUAAUAUUCCAGUACUCGAUUUUGGAUUGUGCAGAGGGACGGAGCAGGCUAAUGAAUCCGGAUGUUGGUUACCGGUUCAAGCGUCCGAGGUGUUGAGGAGCGGUGAAAACGCUCUGAGCUGAGGCGUGAGUACGACCUCCUACGGGAGGGAAGUUCAUGAUGUCAAACUUUCUAGAAAAGCUCUAAACACGUUAAUCCAAAGUCACCCGUACCCUAAACCGACACAGGUGGGAUGGUUGAGAAUACUAAAGGGCGCGAGUUAACUCUCUCUAAGGAACUCGGCAAAAUGGCCCCGUAACUUCGGGAGAAGGGGUGCCCACGCAAGUGGGUCGCAGUGAAGAGAUCCAGGCGACUGUUUACCAAAAACACAGGUCUCCGCUAAGUCGUAAGACGAUGUAUGGGGGCUGACGCCUGCCCAGUGCCGGAAGGUUAAAGAAGUUGGUCAGAGAGCAAUCUUGAAGCUAGCGACUGAAGCCCCGGUGAACGGCGGCCGUAACGAUAACGGUCCUAAGGUAGCGAAAUUCCUUGUCAGGUAAGUUCUGACCCGCACGAAAGGCGUAACGAUCUGGAUGCUUUCUCGGAGAGAGGCUCGGCGAAAUAGGAUUGUCUGUGAAGAUACGGACUACCUGCACCUGGACAGAAAGACCCUAUGAAGCUUUACUGUAGCUUGGUAUUGGGUUCGGGCUUUGACUGCGCAGAAUAGGUGGGAGGCUUUGAGACAGCCCUUGUGGGGGUUGUGGAGCCACCGGUGAGAUACCACUCUGUUAAGGCUAGAAUUCUAACUCUCACCCGUUAUCCGGGGAGGGAACAGUAUCAGGUGGGCAGUUUGACUGGGGCGGUCGCCUCCUAAAUGGUAACGGAGGCGCGCAAAGGUUCUCUCAGGCUGGUCGGAAAUCAGCCGUUGAGUGCAAAAGCAUAAGAGAGCUUGACUGUGAGACGUACAUGUCGAACAGGUACGAAAGUAGGCUUUAGUGAUCCGACGGUUCCGCGUGGAAGGGCCGUCGCUAAACGGAUAAAAGUUACUCUAAGGAUAACAGGCUGAUCUCCCCCAAGAGUUCACAUCGACGGGGAGGUUUGGCACCUUGAUGUCGGCUCAUCGCAACCUGGGGCGGUAGUACGUCCCAAGGGUUGGGCUGUUCGCCCAUUAAAGCGGUACGUGAGCUGGGUUCAGAACGUCGUGAGACAGUUCGGUCCAUAUCCGGUGCAGGCGUAGGAGAAUUGAGAGGAGACUUCCUUAGUACGAGAGGACCGGGAAGUGCGCACCGCUGGUGUACCUGUUAUCGUGCCAACGGUAAACGCAGGGUAGCCAUGUGCGGAGUGGAUAACCGCUGAAAGCAUCUAAGUGGGAAGCCCACCUCAAGAUGAGUUCUCCCAUGGGGUUAACCCAGUAAGGUCACGGGAAGAACACCCGUUGAUAGGCUACAGAUGGAAGCUCAGUAAUGAGUGCAGUCGAGUAGUACUAAUAGACCGAGGGCUUGUCU